rnacentral:ncRNA from 1 species
AUGUUAUCAAGAAAGGUGGAGGGAAUAGACCCUGUGAAACCUUAGCAACCCUUUGCCAGUCAGAGAAGGUGCUAAAUUCUACUCUUAAUUUUUAAGUUGAGAUAGAUAGCGA